AACGAACGCUGGCGGCAUGCCUAACACAUGCAAGUCGAACGAGACCUUCGGGUCUAGUGGCGCACGGGUGCGUAACGCGUGGGAACCUGCCCUUAGGUUCGGAAUAACUCCCCGAAAGGGGUGCUAAUACCGGAUAAUGUCUUCGGACCAAAGAUUUAUCGCCUUUGGAUGGGCCCGCGUUGGAUUAGCUAGUUGGUAGGGUAAAAGCCUACCAAGGCGACGAUCCAUAGCUGGUCUGAGAGGAUGAUCAGCCACACUGGGACUGAGACACGGCCCAGACUCCUACGGGAGGCAGCAGUGGGGAAUAUUGGACUAUGGGCGAAAGCCUGAUCCAGCAAUGCCGCGUGAGUGAUGAAGGCCUUAGGGUUGUAAAGCUCUUUUACCCGGGAUGAUAAUGACAGUACCGGGAGUAUAAGCUCCGGCUAACUCCGUG
rnacentral:rRNA from 1 species